ensembl:antisense jun proto-oncogene, opposite strand
AGAGCUUGGGUAAGCCGCCUCAGCCUGCUAGGAGGUGCCCUCCAAAGCCUCCUUCUCACCUUUUUGUUCUUGGUUACCAUGCAAAGAGAAAAAGAUAGUUUUGUUCUUGGCAUCCUGGCUUGGAGCAUCUGAGAAACAGCAAGUUUUCCCCAGACAUCGGUUCUGUAUUUCCCAUCGGAGCGAGUCCAGCGAAGAGCAGCAUGUUAAGACAUUAACUGCCCAAGAACCUUGAUAAACAAAACAAUAUGACCAUCUUUAUCUCCAUUUGAAUGUGACAUGGCUUCUUCAGACAUCAGCUGUUUUUAUCUGCAGAACAGUGCUCUGACUUAGGCAGAGCAAGCACUCUGAGAAGCCUCACUCACAGAGGAGGAAACUGAGGUCCAAGAUGGACUCUCUGUAUCUGUGAUUCCAUGGCCCAACUGUCCAGAAGCAGAACAACCUCGACUCCAAAGCCAAGGCCCUCCAGGAAGCCAGCAUGUCCAUACGAGUAUUUCAUUACCAUUCUAAAAGUGUUAUCGGACUUCGUUGCCUCCUUCUUCACCAACCUAUGAUCGAUCAGCCUAAUAAAUGCGCUAAGACACACGUCCUGCUCGCCUGCCCUCCACUGCUCGCCC